rnacentral:rRNA from 1 species
CUAUAAUUGUCAGCUAAGUGGCGCACGGGUGAGUAAUGUAUAGAUAACCUGCCCUUAAGAAAGGAAUAACAGUUGGAAACGACUGCUAAUGCCCUAUAUGCCUUUAAUACAUAAGUAUGCAAGGGAAACGCUUUAGUGCUUAAGGAUGGGUCUGUAUGGUAUCAGCUUGUUGGUGAGGUAAUGGCUCACCAAGGCUAUGACGCCUAACUGGUUUGAGAGGAUGAUCAGUCACACUGGAACUGAGACACGGUCCAGACUCCUACGGGAGGCAGCAGUGGGGAAUAUUGCACAAUGGACGAAAGUCUGAUGCAGCAACGCCGCGUGGAGGAUGACACAUUUCGGUGCGUAAACUCCUUUAUAUAGGAAGAUAAUGACGGUACUAUAUGAAUAAGCACCGGCUAACUCCGUGCCAGCAGCCGCGGUAAUACGGAGGGUGCAAGCGUUACUCGGAAUCACUGGGCGUAAAGAGCGUGUAGGCGGGUAUAUAAGUCAGAAGUGAAAUCCAAUAGCUCAACUAUUGAACUGCUUUUGAAACUGUAUACCUAGAAUGUGGGAGAGGUAGAUGGAAUUUCUGGUGUAGGAGUAAAAUCCGUAGAGAUCAGAAGGAAUACCGAUUGCGAAGGCGAUCUACUGGAACAUUAUUGACGUUGAGACGCGAAAGCGUGGGGAGCAAACAGGAUUAGAUACCCUGGUAGUCCACGCCCUAAACGAUGUACACUAGUUGUUGUGAGGCUCGACCUUGCAGUAAUGCAGUUAACACAUUAAGUGUACCGCCUGGGGAGUACGGUCGCAAGAUUAAA